GGUGCUGUGGCGGAGUGGUUACGCAGCGGUCUGCAAAACCGCGUACACCGGUUCAAUUCCGGUCGGCACCUCCA
rnacentral:tRNA from 1 species